CUGGAAAUCACAGAUGUUUGUCCACUCUGUGGAAUAGAGUGAGAGGACACAUACCAUGUGAUCUGUAGAUGCCCUCGGGCCGUGGAGCUAUGGCGUAAUAUGUGCAACUUCUGGAGGCUGCCAGACCCUUCUGCUGUCCGGCCGACAGGGAAGGAAUGGAUCUUCGACGUGUUGGCUGACAUGAAUGAGGAUGAUCGGAUGCGGAUGCUUAUGGUUCUUUGGCGUAUCUGGUACGUCAGGAAUGAGAUCGUCCAUGACAAAAAACCUCCGCCGACCGAUGCCUCGACGCGCUUCCUUCUCAGCUACGAGGGAUCCAUUCUGGCCAUCAAGCAUUGUCCAAACGAUGAUCUGUCUAAAGGCAAGAUGCCACUGUGGGGAGGACCACAGAAGAUGUCAUCGCAUGCUGGGAUUGAUUCCAAACCAAGGCCUCAGUGGCAGCCGCCGGACUCAGAGAGAGUAAAGCUUAAUGUGGAUGGGUCCUUUUGUCAGGAAUCGGGCGAGGCGGGAGCAGGCAUGGUGCUACGUGAUAGUAAGGGGGACAUCAUCUUCUCGGCCUGUAGGCGUCUACAAAACUGUGCGAGUCCACUUCAGGCUGAACUUCUAGCUUGUUUGGAGGGCCUUCAUUUUGCUCUGCAGUGGUCCCAGCUUCCAGUAGAUGUGGAGAUGGAUUGUCUCAUUGUUGUUGAAUCCAUCCGUGCGCAUACGGAGGACAGAUCGCAGAACGCGAUGAUAAUCAAGGAAAUUAAAGAGUUUCUUGGCGAAAGGGAGUGUUCCAUUACUCAUGUAAGCAGGCAUCAAAAUGUUGUCGGUCAUAGACUAGCCUUAUUUAGUCGUGUAGAAGCUAGGACAGCAGUUUGGCCUCGAUCAGGCCCUGCUAAUGUACCUCAACUUUGUUUGGAGGAUAUCUCUCCACCUUGA
rnacentral:rRNA from 1 species